AACAAAAUGCGUCAGAGAAACUAGAUACAGGUUAAGAAACAAUCAGUAGACAAAAACUAGAUACUCUGGAAAUAAUUCAUCACUAGCAGUAGGCAGAACUUGGAUAGUUUUAUAAUUUACACUGCAAGAACACAUACUGCUUGAUUGAGUAUGGAAAGAACAAUAGCACGCCAAGAAUUACAGUGGAAAAUCCCCCUAGUAAUUACACUAAAAACUGGCUAAACAGACCAAGAAUUACAGUGCAAAAUCCCCUAGUAAUUACAUAGUAAUUUCCAGUGCAAAAUGCAUAGAAAUUACAAUGGAAAUUGCAGAAAUUACAGUGGAAAUUGCAUGGAAUUUUCAGUGGAAAAUUCCAUAGAAAUUUCAGUGUAUGAAUGUUGAUGCAUCAAAACUUAGACUGGAACAAACCUACUGUAUGUACACUGUGAAAAUACUACUGCAAAUUGUACUGUUACUGACACUUCUUUUCCAGAAAUGCAGAUUGGGAGCACGACAAGAACAAUAACAGAAGACGAUCUACUGUCAAUGUCAUAGAAGAUAUCAUCCUAAAUGAAUCAUUUUCAUAUACUGCGCUCCUACAGUCAAGACAUUAUAUACAAGGUACAUUCAACAAAUGGUACAACACAACUAAGAGGGGAGGAGUCCAGUAACAACCCAUCAGUACAUUCUACAGUAAGAGAAGUGAAAUGUAGAAAAAAAAUCAUGAAUUCACACAAAAAAGAGAGAA